rnacentral:rRNA from 1 species
UAGGGAAUCUUCCGCAAUGGACGAAAGUCUGACGGAGCAACGCCGCGUGAGCGAAGAAGGCCUUCGGGUCGUAAAGCUCUGUUGUUAGGGAAGAACAAGUAUCGGAGUAACUGCCGGUACCUUGACGGUACCUAACCAGAAAGCCACGGCUAACUACGUGCCAGCAGCCGCGGUAAUACGUAGGUGGCAAGCGUUGUCCGGAAUUAUUGGGCGUAAAGCGCGCGCAGGCGGUCCUUUAAGUCUGAUGUGAAAGCCCACGGCUCAACCGUGGAGGGUCAUUGGAAACUGGGGGACUUGAGUGCAGAAGAGGAGAGUGGAAUUCCACGUGUAGCGGUGAAAUGCGUAGAGAUGUGGAGGAACACCAGUGGCGAAGGCGACUCUCUGGUCUGUAACUGACGCUGAGGCGCGAAAGCGUGGGGAGCAAACAGGAUUAGAUACCCUGGUAGUCCACGCCGUAAACGAUGAGUGCUAAGUGUUAGAGGGUCUCCGCCCUUUAGUGCUG